rnacentral:rRNA from 1 species
UACGUAGGGUGCAAGCGUUUGUCCGGGAAUUAUUGGGCGUAAAGAGCUCGUAGGCGGUUUGUUGCGUCGGCUGUGAAAUCCCGAGGCUCAACCUCGGGUCUGCAGUCGAUACGAGCAAACUAGAGUGUUGCAGGGGGAGACUGGAAUUCCUGGUGUAGCGGUGAAAUGCGCAGAUAUCAGGAGGAACACCGGUGGCGAAGGCGGGGUCUCUGGGCAACAACUGACGUGGAGGAGCGAAAGCGUGGGGAGCGAACAGG